AACGUAGGAGGCGAGCGUUAUCCGGAUUUACUGGGCGUAAAGCGCACGCAGGCGGCUUCGUGAGUCGGAUGUGAAAGCUCCUGGCUUAACUGGGAGAGGCCAUUCGAUACUGCGGGGCUUGAGGUUGGGAGAGGGGUGUGGAAUUCCCGGUGUAGUGGUGGAAUGCGUAGAUAUCGGGAGGAACACCAGUGGCGAAGGCGGCACCCUGGCCCACACCUGACGCUGAGGUGCGAAAGCGUGGGUAGCAAACAGG
rnacentral:rRNA from 1 species